rnacentral:rRNA from 1 species
CAUCGAUGAAGAGCGUAGCAAAGUGCGAUAAUUAUUGCGACUUGCAUUCAUAGCGAAUCAUCGAGUUCUCGAACGCAUCUUGCGCCUAGUAGUCAAUCUACUAGGCACAGUUGUUUCAGUAUCUGCAACUACCAAUCAGUUCAACUUGGUUCUUUGAAUCUAAGCGAACUGGAAAUGGGCUUGUGUUGAUGGCAUUCAGUUGCUGUCAUGGCCUUAAAUACAUUUAGUCCUAGGCAAUUGGCUUUAGUCAUUUUGCCGGAUGUAGACUCUAGAGUGCCUGAGGAGCAACGACUUGGUUAGUGAGUUCAUAAUUCCAAGUCAAUCAGUCUUCUCUUGAACUAGGUCUUAAUCUUUA